AUUGAACGCUGGCGGCAGGCCUAACACAUGCAAGUCGAGCGGAUGAAGGGUGCUUGCUCCUGGAUUCAGCGGCGGACGGGUGAGUAAGGCCUAGGAAUCUGCCUGGCAGUUGGUGCUAACGUCCUGAAACGGGCACUAUUACCCUAUUCGCCCUGACGAAGUAAGUGGGAGAUCUUCGGACCUCCCGCCAUCAGAUGAGCCGAUGUCGGAUUAGCUAGUUGGUGGGGUAAAGGCCUACCAAGGCGACGAUCCGUAGCUGGUCUGAGAGGAUGAUCAGUCACACUGGAACUGAGACACGGUCCAGACUCCUACGGGAGGCAGCAGUGGGGAAUAUUGGACAAUGGGCGAAAGCCUGAUCCAGCCAUGCCGCGUGGGUGAAGAAGGUCUUCGGAUUGUAAAGCACUUUUAGUGGGGAGGAAAAGCAGUAAGUUAAUACCUUGCUGUUUUGACGGUACCAACAGAAUAAGCACCGGCUAACUUCGUG
rnacentral:rRNA from 1 species